GAGUUAGGGUGGGGGGAGGAGGCGUGGCCAGCGAGGGCCUGCGCGCAUGCGUGGGGCCCUUUGCUGGCGACCCUACCCGUCUGGGGUGUGUAUUUCCCAAGGGCCUUUCUCGCUGCCGUGCGUGCAUCGGAUUGCUCAGGACGACGCUAGGACCGGGGCACCUCCGAGGGCAAGGGUCUGUGACUUGGGAGUCGCUUCUGCAAAGGCAGGUCUCCGGAUCCCACGUGCCUGUUCCGCUCAGGUAAGGCUGGGCUUCUGGAAGUCCUGCGUCCUGAGAGCCAGCCCCUUGUCCACGAGGAGUGUGUGUACGUGUGUGAGGCCUCUCAGCCCGGUGGAGGGCGCGCCUGAGGAUAAGUUAUUAGUCAUUGCACGGGUUUCUCUCUUGCCCCACUCUUGGCACCGGCAUUAUUACGUUGGAAGAAACCGGUAUUAGGUACAGUG